GUCCUGCAAAGGUGCCAUUCUCGAGAGGCACUACAGAAUGGGAACGCUGGAGGCAAACUUCCUGCGUUCCGACUUCAGCCGUCCGCGCAGUACCUGAGUGAGCCUGGGCAGGAUGCUUAACCUCUCUGCACCUCUGUUUUCUUAUCUGUAAAAUGGAGAUAACAGUCGAACUGACCUUGAAGUUGAGGAUUCGAUGAACUUACGUAGUGCAUCUCUACUAGCGCCUGGCACAUAAUAAGUACUAUGUAUAAGAUGUUGCCUCCUUCUCACCAAGAUCCAUCUCAAAGCCUGCUUCCUGGGGAACCGAACGUGCAGAAGGAAAACAGGGGAACAUCCAGCUGCGGCACAACUCAUGCCGAUCAGAAGUCAAUCUAGGGCCCAUGGAGGGUCAGGGAUCCUGACGGUCUUCAUGGCAAUGCCAGGAAAAGCCUGAAGCCAGGCCCACAAGGAUCAGCGCACAGAUGGAGGGCUUUCCACAUUUCCAAGCUUCUUCCAGUUAAUAGCUGGGGGACUGCAGACUCAAACCUCAAGCCAGCUUGCCCCCGGAGCCUCUCCCUUGUCAGAUUUCUUUUCAAAUGUCUCUCAAGAAACUAGUGCACAGGAACAAAUGAAUGGGACUUAAUUGUCAAUGGAUUCUUGAUGCUAGGAGGAAAGGAGGGUACUGUAGAGCCUUGCAGACCACUGGUUCCAGCCUGGGACUGUCAGAUGAGGAAACCAAGGCCUCGAAAGGGGUGGAGGCAAGUCCAACGUCUAAAUGGUGGUGGAGUUGGGACAGAACUCCAGAUCUCCGAGCUCCAUCCUGAAUUUCUAAUUUACCCAAUUCCACUGUGAGGGAGGCAGACAGAGGAGAGUGGAGAAAAGGGAGAGGGGUAGAGCCGAGACUUUCACUCCAAAUCCCAGUGGCCUGGGCCAAAGGCCUCCUCAAUACUAAUAACAAUGGCAACUUUUACUGAGCACCCACUAAGUGGCAGGAGUCCUAUUAAGCACUGUGGCUCAUUUAAGCCAUUAUCUCAUUGAAGUCUCACAACAACCCAAUAAAGGUGGGUAUUAUUAUUAUUAUACCUACCUUAUAGGACAGGAAUCAGACUCAGAGAGGUGAAGUCAUUUUCUCAGAUAUCUGGCUUAAGGGCGGCUGAGUCUGGCCUGAACACCAGCUCAAUUUCACUUUAGCGUUCCCUCUCUUCCUUGGUGUAAUUUAUAGUCCCCUGGUCUCUUCCCAGAUCCUUGGAGACUUUAGUUUCUUUCCUUGGUUUUUUACUCCUCCUCUCCCUUUCAAACUACAAGAAGAGGGAAGUUAUCUAUCCUGUAAGUGCAUGCUUAGGACCACGGCAGCCUGGAAGUAUGGGAAGCAUUCGAGAUCGGAGGUUCCUGAGUUCAAACCCUAACUCUGUCACUUGCUAGCUCUGUCCCCCGUCGGAGCCUCUAGCUCCACGUUGGUGAAAUGAUAAAUAGAAAACCCAUGAUUAUAAACCCUUCUAUCUUGCCAGAGCAAAACGCUUGGCCCUUUAUUAGAGGUCCUGUAGGUCCUUCUGUUCCAAUAAGUCCUCACCCAUGGAGUUAGGAGCAAGGACGAUCUCAGGGCAAAUAAUGACUGGAACAGGAGGCACAGUGAAGAAGGAGGCAAACAGCUGAUAUUCAACAUAUUCAACCUACCAGUGGCCAGUGGCCUUGGUACUCAGUCUCCCCCUCUGCGCAAUGGGAAUGAAGGCAGCAGAAUACUUCUCCUAGGGCUGUUGUGAGCCUUGAAUGAAAAUAACGCCUGCGACGUGCCGAGCCCAGUGCCUCGUACGUCACAAAUGAUCAACAAAUGGUACUAUUAUUAUUGUCAUCUCGGGGCCAGUGGCUUACAAGUCCUGAGAGUCACUCUUGGACCAUGCCAAGAAGCAAAAACACCAGCUAUAAGCCAGACUAGUGGUUCUCAAACAUCAGUGGGCACAAGAGUCACUUGCAGGCAGAGCCAGGUUCAUGGGUGCACGUCCUGUGCAGUCACACAGGACCCCAUGCUUAGAAGACUCUAGGUGUGGUUCAAUGCUGCGCUGUCACCGUCUCGAAAUUCUAGAUAAUUUCUGAAGAAGGGCCCUGUGUUUUCAUUUGGCACUGGGCCCCAUGAAUUUCACAGGCCAGCCUUGUCUGGAAAACUUAUUAAAACACAGAUAACUGGGGCCACCUCAAGGAUUUCUGAUUCAGUAGAUUUGGGAGGUAGUCCACCACGCCCCGCCAAUCUGCAUUUCUGACAAGGUCCCAGAUCGUGCUGGUGCUACUGGUCUCUGGACCACGUUUUGAGAACUACUGAUUGAGACAGUGGCUAUGAACCCCGAUUAUAUAUUAGAAUCGCCAGGAAAGUACCUGGGCUCCACCUUCACCUGACUAAAUGGAAUUGUUAUGAGUGCAUUCCUAGCUUCAGUAUUUUUGAAAGGCUCACCAGGUAAUUCUAAUGUACACCCAGGAGUGAGGACCACUGGGUUAGAGCAGAGAAUCCCGAACUUCCCUCAGGAGAAGAAACCCCUGUAGGCAUGAGUCACCCACACGAACACCCAGGCCCCAUCCUAAACCCAGUGCUGUGCACAAUGUCUAGAGAAGGGUCAAGGAGGCUGUAUGUUCAAUAAGCACUUGAGAUGAUUCUUAGCCUGGGACAAUGUGGGCAAACCUGUUUAGAGCAGCAUUUCUCAAUCUUUAAUGAGCACAGGAAACACUUGGGAACUUGUUACGCAGCAGAUUCUGAUUUAGUCGACCUGGGAUGGGCCCAAGAAUUUCUAUUUCUCCCCUGCUCCCUGGGAAUACCACUGCUGCUGGUCCAGAGACCACACUUGGGGUAACCCAGGUCUAGGCUAAAGAAACAGGAAGGUAAUGGGGUGGCUUAAAAUUUGGUGAAGCAACCUCCAAUUGUCCAGGACAAGAAGAAGAUGGGGAAAAGGUGAUGCAUCCCAGCUUCAGUUGGUGCAGAAAGUCUUUACUUCAUAAACCACAUGUGAGAGAUCAUUCUCAAAGUGGGGUCUAAAAAGCCACCCCAGGACGCUCUGCUCUUUCUACAGAUGAGGGCUACCGUGAGUCAGGGUUUAAGAACCACCCAGAGGAGUUCUUCAGUGCAACCCAUCAGAACCUGGGCCAGUUCUCCUCUCUAAGCCUCCAUCCUCUCAGGGGCAAGGUUGCCAACAUGCCCAUUAAUCUAUUUCAUGGCUGCUUCUGGACAUCAGAAACACGAAAAGGCCUUUUGAUAGCAAAAUUCCAUACCAACUACAGUUCCUGUUAUUUCUGUACAGUGACGUGACAGGUUCCUAGAUAAUAUCUUCUCGACUUUCCAACAUCUUCCCGGGGAAACGGACCAAGAUGUGGCAUACUUCCUGCCCUGGAAGGCCUUUCCUCUCAAUCCAUUCUCACAUCUUUACUGAGCUCCCCAGGAACUUAUCAGCUUGUGGGACUGAAAAUACAGCCAGGAAAGAGGCAGUGAGGAUGAAUGGUGAGUGGGCAGUACAGAGACCAGGUUCUUAAGAGAACUCUCCAGGAUAUGGAAACUGAGAAGGGUUACCCAGGAGUGGCUGAAGAGGAGAGCGUCCAGGUGAAGGGUAUGAGCACCAUGGACAGGUAAACUGUAUGUAAGGGUCAGCAAAGAUGCAGGCUGGUAGGGAAGUGGUGUUGGAACAGAUCAUCUCAGGUUCUCUUAGAGCUACAAGGCCCCUAAACCAGCCUACCCCUGUAGGGAAACUGAGGCUCCGAAUGAAGAAACGUGUUGAUUAAGCAUAUUUCAGCUACAGGUAACAGACAGAACUGUCCCAAGGAAGGCUGCAGCACAGCCUCAGCUGGGGAUGAUUUUGUGGUAACUGAAAUGACAAGCGCCUAGCCCACCUGUACGCAGAACAGUCACCAGCAAACCUCCCUCGCCAGAGCGCUGCCAUAAAUUAAUCUUUAAUUUCCACCGCUGGGGCUGUGGCGCGGCUAAUCACGACCACUAAUUGCUAUCACAAGCUUCUCCCUUCGCUGUUUUAUGUUUCCAUAUUAGCCUGUUCAGUAUGCUUUGUGUCUGUUUAUUUUAUAGCCGGAAAUACUUUUAAUAGCCUAGUGAAUUGAAAAUGGACUUCACUACCAUCUGACUUCACUGGAGUUUUACAACCAUUCAGUUAAUGGUAUCAGUAAUCUUCCUGCAUAAUUAGAGAGUUAGUAGCUUUCUCAGGCACUGCUGUUAAUGAAACUAGUACUCGGCAUCCACCUAAUCGUAUUUUGGGGGGCUCCAAAUGGGAAACUCACAAGCUUGGGGGCUGCCAGGAUGGAAUGCCACGAUGAGCUGGCUGUAAAUACCGCCUGCAAAUAUAUGGUUUAUUAUGGUGAUAACGGGCAAUUCUAGUUUACAUAAAUCUGAGCAUUCCUGCUGACAGAG